UACGUAGGGGGCAAGCGUUGUCCGGAUUUAUUGGGCGUAAAGAGCGUGUAGGCGGUUUGGUAGGUCCGCUGUGAAAACUCGAGGCUCAACCUCGAGACGCCGGUGGAAACCAUCAGACUAGAGUCCGGAAGAGGAGAGUGGAAUUCCUGGUGUAGCGGUGAAAUGCGCAGAUAUCAGGAGGAACACCAAUAGCGAAGGCAGCUCGCUGGGACGUUACUGACACUGAGGCGCGAAAGCGUGGGGAGCAAACAGG
rnacentral:rRNA from 1 species